rnacentral:rRNA from 1 species
GAGUGGCGAACGGGUGAGUAAUAUAUCGGAACGUGCCCAGUAAUGGGGAACAACUAAUUGAAAGAUUAGCUAAUACCGCAUACGACCUACGGGUGAAAGCAGGGGAUCUUCGGACCUUGCGUUAUUGGAGCGGCCGAUAUCGGAUUAGCUAGUUGGUGAGGUAAAGGCUCACCAAGGCGACGAUCAGUAGCUGGUCUGAGAGGACGAUCAGCCACACUGGAACUGAGACACGGUCCAGACUCC